rnacentral:rRNA from 1 species
AACGCUGGCGGCGUGCCUAACACAUGCAAGUCAAACGGAUGUGCCAAUGAAGCUUCGGCUGAUUUGGAGUACACAUUAGUGGCAGACGGGUGAGUAACACGCAAACAAUCUACCAUUCAGACGGGGACAACCUUGGGAAACUAGGGCUAAUACCGGAUACGCUCAUAGAAUCGCAUGGCUUUAUGAGGAAACCAGCUUGCUGGCUGAAUGAUGAGUUUGCGGCUGAUUAGUUUGUUGGUGGGGUAAUGGCCUACCAAGACGAUGAUCAGUAGCUGGUCUGAGAGGAUGGACAGCCACACUGGAACUGAGACACGGUCCAGACUCCUACGGGAGGCAGCAGUGAGGAAUUUUGCGCAAUGGGCGAAAGCCUGACGCAGCGACGCCGCGUGAAUGAUGAAGCCCUUCGGGGUGUAAAGUUCUGUCAGUAGGGAAGAUAAUGACGGUACCUACAGAGGAAGGCCCGGCUAAAUAUGUGCCAGCAGCCGCGGUAAUACAUAUGGGCCAAGCGUUGUCCGGAUUUAUUGGGCGUAAAGAGCACGCAGGUGGUUAACUAAGUCAGUAUUAGAAGACUGAAGCUCAACUUCAGUAGGGUAUUGAAACUGGUUAACUAGAGAUAUGGAGAGGAAAGUGGAAUUAACAGUGUAGCGGUGAAAUGCGUAGAUAUUGUAAAGAACACCCGUGG